UUUUUACAAUGACAAUAUCAUGAAAUCAACUGCAGCCAAUGUCUUUCAGAAGUUAUGUAAUUAUUAAGAUUAGACGAAGCUGUCUAAAGGUGUGAAAGACAAAAGAACACAUUACAGACAUGAAGCUUGUGCAAAAUAUCCUAAGCUACAAAUAUCUCACAGAUAACUGUUGAAUUGUCUAAAAAAAAAAAUGUGUGGAGUUUGGAAGAUCUGCUGCAAAAUAUGGCCACCCACCUUAAAUAAAUGUAAUUUAAA